UACGUAGGUGGCAAGCGUUGUCCGGAUUUACUGGGCGUAAAGAGCGCGCAGGCGGUUGGAUAAGUCGAAUGUGAAAGCCCCCGGCUCAACUGGGGAGGGUCAUUCGAUACUGUCCGACUCGAAGGCAGGAGAGGGAAGCGGAAUUCCCGGUGUAGUGGUGAAAUGCGUAGAUAUCGAGAGGAACACCUGCGGCGAAGGCGGGUUGCUGGGCCGACACUGGCGCUGAUGCGCGAAAGCCAGGGGAGCGAACGGG
rnacentral:rRNA from 1 species